rnacentral:rRNA from 1 species
AUUGAACGCUGGCGGCAUGCUUUACACAUGCAAGUCGAACGGUAACAGCACUUCGGUGGCUGACGAGUGGCGAACGGGUGAGUAAUACAUCGGGACGUGCCUAGUAGUGGGGGAUAACUACUCGAAAGAGUAGCUAAUACCGCAUGAGAUCUAAGGAUGAAAGCAGGGGACCUUCGGGCCUUGCGCUACUAGAGCGGCUGAUGGCAGAUUAGGUAGUUGGUGGGAUAAAAGCUUACCAAGCCGACGAUCUGUAGCUGGUCUGAGAGGACGACCAGCCACACUGGGACUGAGACACGGCCCAGACUCCUACGGGAGGCAGCAGUGGGGAAUUUUGGACAAUGGGCGCAAGCCUGAUCCAGCAAUGCCGCGUGCAGGAUGAAGGCCUUCGGGUUGUAAACUGCUUUUGUACGGAACGAAAAGCCCUCUUCUAAUACAGGAGGGUCAUGACGGUACCGUAAGAAUAAGCACCGGCUAACUACGUG